AUUGAACGCUGGCGGCAGGCCUAACACAUGCAAGUCGAGCGAGCGGCGGACGGGUGAGUAAUGUCUGGGAAACUGCCCGAUGGAGGGGGGUAACUAUUGGGAACGGUAGCUAAUACCCCAUACCAUCAGAUGUGCCCAGAUGGGAUUAGCUAGGUGGGGGGGGAACGGCUCACCCAGGCGCCGAUCCCUAGCUGGUCUGAGAGGGUGACCAGCCACACUGGAACUGAGACACGGUCCAGACUCCUACGGGAGGCAGCAGUUGGGAAUAUUGCACAAUGGGCGCAAGCCUGAUGCAGCCAUGCCGCGUGUGUGAAGGAGGCCUUCGGGUUGUAAAGCACUUUCAGCGGGGAGGCGUUACCCGCAGAAGAAGCACCGGCUAACUCCGUGCCAGCAGCCGCGGUAAUUC
rnacentral:rRNA from 1 species